rnacentral:rRNA from 1 species
CUACGGGAGGCUGCAGUGAGGAAUAUUGCACAAUGGGGGGAACCCUGAUGCAGCAACGCCGCGUGGAGGAUGACGCAUUUCGGUGUGUAAACUCCUUUUAUAUGUCAAGAAAAUGACGGUAGCAUAUGAAUAAGCACCGGCUAACUCCGUGCCAGCAGCCGCGGUAAUACGGAGGGUGCAAGCGUUACUCGGAAUCACUGGGCGUAAAGGACGCGUAGGCGGGUUGGAAAGUCAGGUGUGAAAUCCUACAGCUUAACUGGAGAACUGCACUUGAAACUUCUAAUCUAGAGUAUGGGAGGGGGAGAUGGAAUUCGUGGUGUAGGGGUAAAAUCCGUAGGUAUCACUAGGAAUACCUAAAGCGAAGGCGAUCUCCUGGAACAUUACUGACGCUAAGGCGUGAAAGCGUGGGGAGCAAACAGGAUUAGAUACCCGCGUAGUC